ACACUCCUACGGGAGGCAGCAGUGGGGAAUUUUGGACAAUGGGCGAAAGCCUGAUCCAGCAAUGCCGCGUGUGUGAAGAAGGCCUUCGGGUUGUAAAGCACUUUUGUCCGGAAAGAAAUCCUUGGCUCUAAUACAGUCGGGGGAUGACGGUACCGGAAGAAUAAGCACCGGCUAACUACGUGCCAGCAGCCGCGGUAAUACGUAGGGUGCGAGCGUUAAUCGGAAUUACUGGGCGUAAAGCGUGCGCAGGCGGUUUGCUAAGACCGAUGUGAAAUCCCCGGGCUCAACCUGGGAACUGCAUUGGUGACUGGCAGGCUAGAGUAUGGCAGAGGGGGGUAGAAUUCCACGUGUAGCAGUGAAAUGCGUAGAGAUGUGGAGGAAUACCGAUGGCGAAGGCAGCCCCCUGGGCCAAUACUGACGCUCAUGCACGAAAGCGUGGGGAGCAAACAGGAUUAGAUACCCGGGUAGUCCCA
rnacentral:rRNA from 1 species